UCAUGGCGUUGAUGAUAAACACUUUAAGCAAACAUGCCAGUUCUGCUUCUGAAAAUUCAUGACUGAAAAGCCUGUUAUAUACCGAUCUGAGCCAUGA
rfam:Triticum aestivum genome assembly, contig: Triticum_aestivum_CS42_TGACv1_scaffold_513710_6BS